AAUUAGAUGAACAAAAUAACCACAAACUCAGACUGUGGUUUUAGCAUUAUUUUAGUACUUCAUGACACUGUAAUAUUUGAGUAAUUUGGUGAAUCUAAUAUUCUCUUCCAGGCUUGAAAAAGGACCCUUUCUUUAGCUGCAAUGUGCCUAUCCUCUCACCAUUUUGUUUCUCUUCUCACAAGGCCGACAUUAGGUUCCCCUUUUGCUUUCCAGCUUUGGAAAAACACCAGCUACACACUAUUAAAAC
rnacentral:lncRNA from 12 species